GGGAGUCAGUCUGUUCAAGGAGGGCGGCCCGACUACACGCGUCAAGAUGAGGAUCCGCCUUGCAAUUGCUCUCCUUCUGGCAAUCCUGACGACGGUCCACCAUGCAGCCGCCGCGCCCUUCUUCAGGAUAAAAGCGCCCACGGGAUCCUUCGACUUCAAGAACCAAUUCCAGAAAUUCUGGGCUCGCUGGAGGCCCCAUCAGGACGAUCGCUACUGGCACGGCUUCGACAUCGACGGCUACACCAAGAACGGAUAAACCAGUGAAUCCCAAGUGGAACCUCGUGGGAAUUUCGGAUCGGAAUAUCGGCUUGAGCGACGAAGUAGCAAGAAUGGAAACAAAAUAACAAAAACAUGAUUUUCAUCCAUUCAUAUUAUCAUAAAGUAGUAUCGUUAAUUUCGCUUCAUAAUUACUAAGUAUAUCAAUUAUGCCAUGACAUUAUGUCACGAUUUCAUGUCUUAUUUUCAACCAUAAAUCCAUUUUAUUUCAUCCUCAUAAUGUAUGGUGUUAUCAAACAUGACUUGUUAUUAAAGUUAUAAGGAAAAUAAGUAUUUUUGUUGCUAAU